ensembl:lncRNA
CAAAGAGCAAUGUGAUCAUGAAAUUUUGUGGCAAGGAUGGCCCCUUAUCAACAACAAAAAGGAGAGCAGCAUAUGUGAAUAAAAACUUCACAGAGGUUAAACCAGUGGAGUACAUUAUUGAAAGAGGAAAAAAAUCUAGUGCUGUAUAUGUUCCUUUGCAUCCAAUGCUACAGAAGAUGUUGAAUAGGGCAGAUAUUUUGGACAAAGCUCUUCCCGUCCAAAAGCAUGUGCAACAUGAGUACAGUUCAUACAGAGAUGGCUCGUACUGUAAUGACAAUGACCUCCUUAAAGGGGAGGAAUUCAAAAUCGCUGUUGGACUUUAUACAGAUGAUUUUGAAGUGUCCAAUCCUUUAGGAACAUCUAGAAAGAAGCACAAAAUGAGUGCAGUUUAUUGGGUGAUCGCUAAUGUGCCAUCAAAAUACAGAUCCACACUCCACUCCAUUCAGCUUGCUGUUUUGUGUAAAGCCUCUCAUGUAAAAGAAUUUGGCUACUCUAAAAUUCUCCACCCUCUAAUUAAUGAUCUGGCUUCUUUGGAGCAACAUGGUGUAUAUGUUGAGAAGUUGGGAGAAUGUGUCAAAGGUACGGUUUUAUAUGUGGCUGCUGAUAACCUGGCUGCUCAUUCUCUGGCAGGAUUCUUCGAAAGCUUUAUGGUGGAAAGAUUCUGCAGGUUCUGUAUGGUGACGAGAGGCGAGAUGCAAGCCAAUGAGGUAAAUUCAGGUGCUUUUGAACCCCGCACUAUAGACACUCACAACCAGCAGGUGCAGGAGGUAAAGCAGGAUCCCACUGUGGCAAAACAGUAUGGUGUGAAAGGAGGGUGUGUAUUGACUGACGGUCUGGAGCACUUUCAUGUUGUUCGUGGGUACCCCCCUGACAUCCUCCAUGACCUUUUGGAAGGCAUUGUUCCUGUUGAGUUAUCCCUCUGCAUUUCAGACAUGAUUUCCAAGAAAUAUUUCACCAUAGAAACACUGAACCAUGCCAUGAAAACAUUUGAAUAUGCUUUUCAUGACAAAACUGACCAGCCUCAGCCAAUUGCCCAUGGCUUCUCUACCAAAGGGACCAUAGGUGGCAAUGGCCAUGAGAACUGGGCCCUAAUCAGGCUGCUCCCACUUAUCAUUGGCCAUAAAGUCCCUGAAGGAGACAAUGCAUGGAACAUUCUGCUGCUCCUAAAAGACAUUGUUGAGUUAGCUGUCGCAACAAAGCACACUGAAGAGUCGGUGCAUUUCCUUGACUGCAAAGUGUCAGAACAUAGAGACUUGUUGCAAACAACAUUCCCAGAUUUUAGAUUACGGCCAAAACACCACUAUAUUGAGCAUUACCCUGAGAUGAUCAAAGCAUUUGGUCCCCUUUCAGAUGUUUGGACUAUGCGGUUUGAGGGAAAACACAAAUUCUUCAAACGGGUCAUUCGUAAUGCCCACAACUUCAAAAAUGUAGCUCUUACAUUGGCUGUUAAGCAUCAGAAAAUGAUGGCUUACUAUUUGGACACAAGUUCAUUUUUCAAGCCUUCAAUUGAAAUGGACAAGGUCACUACUGCAUCGAUCACAUCUUUUCCUGAGAAUGUCCAACAGGUUUUCUGCCAAAGAGUUCCUCAGCUUACAUCAGUUCUUGUUCCAUCAUCAGUCCAUGUAGAUGGAAUUAGAUAUUGUGCUGACAUGGUAGUCUCUGUUGGUUCAUGUGCUGGCCUCCCUUCAUUUAGACAGAUCAAACAGAUAGUGGCACUUAACACUGAGAUCCUGUUUGUUUGCAAUGAGAUGACUGCUUGGUAUCAUGAGCAUUUGAGAUCUUUCGAACUCAUCUGUGACAGCAGUAACCCCACUCUGUGUGUGGUGCAGCUGAAAGAGCUGAAUGAUGUUUUCCCUCUUUCGGCGUACAGAUAUGGUGAUAAUUUAGUAGUGACCCUCAGGCGAUAUAUUCUCUGUUAAGAAGCCACAGUGUGAUUUCUGCAAUCAAGCUAGGCUGUAAUGGAACAUUUUGUAGCUUAUUUUAGAGCUCAUGUUGAAAUGUAUAAUG